rnacentral:rRNA from 1 species
UACGAAGGGGGCUAGCGUUGUUUGGAAUCACUGGGCGUAAAGGGCGCGUAGGCGGCUGUUCAAGUCGGGGGUGAAAUCCCGUGGCUCAACCACGGAAUGGCCUUCGAUACUGGACGGCUAGAGACCGGAAGAGGUGAGUGGAACUGCGAGUGUAGAGGUGAAAUUCGUAGAUAUUCGCAAGAACACCAGUGGCGAAGGCGGCUCACUGGUCCGGUUCUGACGCUGAGGCGCGAAAGCGUGGGGAGCAAACGGG